GGCUACUUAGCUCAGACGGUUAGAGCGCAGCACUCAUAACGCUGAGGUCACAGGUUCGAUUCCCGUAGUAGCCACCA
rnacentral:tRNA from 1 species